GUACUGCUGAAGAGUCCAAAAAAAAAAAAAAGGAAACAGCUGUCCAGUAC
rnacentral:hammerhead_ribozyme from 1 species